rnacentral:rRNA from 1 species
AGUGAACGCUGGCGGUAGGCCUAACACAUGCAAGUCGAACGGCAGCACAGUAAGAGCUUGCUCUUACGGGUGGCGAGUGGCGGACGGGUGAGGAAUAUAUCGGAAUCUACUUUUUCGUGGGGGAUAACGUAGGGAAACUUACGCUAAUACCGCAUACGACCUACGGGUGAAAGCAGGGGAUCUUCGGACCUUGCGCGAUUGAAUGAGCCGAUGUCGGAUUAGCUAGUUGGCGGGGUAAAGGCCCACCAAGGCGACGAUCCGUAGCUGGUCUGAGAGGAUGAUCAGCCACACUGGAACUGAGACACGGUCCAGACUCCUACGGGAGGCAGCAGUGGGGAAUAUUGGACAAUGGGCGCAAGCCUGAUCCAGCCAUACCGCGUGGGUGAAGAAGGCCUUCGGGUUGUAAAGCCCUUUUGUUGGGAAAGAAAAGCAGCAGGUUAAUACCCCGCUGUUCUGACGGUACCCAAAGAAUAAGCACCGGCUAACCUCGUG